CUACAGGCUUAACACAUGCAAGUCGAGGGAGGCGUAGCAAUACGUCGACCGGCGCACGGGUGAGUAACACGUAUCCAACCUGCCGCAUACUCGGGCAUAGCCUUUCGAAAGAAAGAUUAAUUCCCGAUGUUGCUGUUAUAAGGCAUCUUAUGACAGCCAAAGAAUUUCGGUAUGCGAUGGGGAUGCGUUCCAUUAGAUUGUUGGUGAGGUAACGGCUCACCAAGUCUGCGAUGGAUAGGGGUUCUGAGAGGAAGGUCCCCCACACUGGAACUGAGACACGGUCCAGACUCCUACGGGAGGCAGCAGUGAGGAAUAUUGGUCAAUGGGCGAGAGCCUGAACCAGCCAAGUAGCGUGAAGGAUGACGG
rnacentral:rRNA from 1 species